rnacentral:tRNA from 1 species
UGUAUUAAUAAGUGCUUAAUUUCGACUUAGGUUUAGGUAAAUUUA